rnacentral:pre_miRNA from 1 species
UCUUCUAGCAUUAGAGCCACUGUCUUCUAGCACUAGAGCCACAGUGACAGUGGCUCUAGUGCUAGAAGUUCUAGCACUA